GGGAACAAGGCCCAGCCGCAGCCGCCUUUCCCUCGGGGGCCUCCCAGCACACGGGGCACGUGCAGGAUCUUCUGGAGCACGGAGGAAGGCGGCUCCGGCGCCUGCGUGGAGGCUCAGUGCCAGUCAUGCUUCUGUCUCUCUGGUGCAAGCUGAGUCUGCAAGUGCUUGUCCUGCUCUUCAGACACCUGGAAGUACCCUGAGAGCUGCAAGCUGCGUUCAUACUUGAAGGCACCGGAAAAUAGUUUCAUUCUUUCAUUUCAAGGAGCUCCGCUUUCUGGAUGUCCUCAGAUUACUCAAGCUAGUGUGGAAUGAACAUGCAGAAUACAGAAACCAACGGAAACGCUCCUGUUUCAUUCUUUUACGCGAUGUUGAUAUAUAUUCUGGAUACGUAAUAGCACAUGGUCUUGAAACCUUACUUGUGUUUUGAGAAGGAGCUGGGUUUUUGGAAAGGGAAAGAUCACGCACCAAACUGCAUUCACUGACAUCCGCUCAGUGAAUAAAAUUGGCGUUCUUCACGAUGUGACCUAAUGAUCCUGGGAGGCUAAGAGAAAGUCAUAGCAUACAUAUAAAAGUGGCUUUUGACAGG